rnacentral:lncRNA from 1 species
ACCUGUAAUUUGAUUAGCCUUGGCGCAAUUUCUUAUUACUUUGUGUAGAAUUAGGCAUAAGAAUGGGUUUCUUCUCUUGGUGAAUUGGGUAUGCUAAAUACCCUAUUGUGAUAGUCCAUGUAAAUUUUUUAUCUUAUUUGUACUUGUUUUCAUUAUUAUUGAUGAGCUUCAUCUUCAUUGAGUUUUCUUGUAAAUCAACAAGCAUGAAAGUAACUUAUCAUAGAGGUGGAUCUCUUGACGUUAUUCAAUAUUUGAGAUCUUGAUAUUGCAAACUUGAUCGUCUUGAUGGUUAUUUCUUCUCUAUUAUAGUCUGCUUUUGCUUCUUUCAUGCAAAUAUGGAGUGAAAUUUCUGGAGCUUUACUUGUGGUUUGCAAUUUUAUUAACUUUUUCUUAACACACACUUUUGCUUCAUCCAUGCAAAUAUGGAGUGAAUUUUCUGGAGCUUGACUUGUGGUUUUCAAUUUUAUUAACUUUUUCUUUUCACACACACACACACACCACACACACAUACUACUCUCACACUCACACUCACACUAAUGUAUAAGACCAUGUAUAUACUUAUUAUCAGUGAUAUAUAUAGUUAUUAGCUCUAUAUGUUUACGUAUUGAUGUAUAUAAGCAUAAAAUACAUUAGUUAUCGGUUAUAUGUACAGUUACUAGUGUGUAAAAGUACAUUGAUAUGUGUGUGAUGUCUGUAUAUAUACGAAGUGUAUGUACGGAUUUCUGUGUAUGUAUAAAUAACUGUAUAUAUACAAUGCAUUUAAUGUUUAUAUUUCUAUAUACAUUGAUGUAUAUGACCAUAUAUACAUUUAUUAUUAGUUUAUAAAUUUAUUAACGUAUAUGUACAUUGUUUUAUACAGUGUAAAUAACUGUAUAUAUACAAUGCAUUUAAUGUUUAUAUUUCUAUAUACAUUGAUGUAUAUGACCAUAUAUGUACUUAUUAUUAGUUUAUAAAUUUAUUAACAUAGAUGUACACUGAUUUAUAUACUACACACACACUCUCACACUCACACUCACACUCACACUCACACAUUUGUUAUCAACUAUAUAUAUAGUUAUUAGUGUGUAAAAAUAAUAUUGAUGUGUGUGUGCGAUGCUGUAUAGAUGCGAUGAGUAUAUAUUGAUAUGUUUGUGUGUAUAGUGCAUAGUGUGUAAAAUGCAUAAUUGUAUAUAUACAUUUAUUAGUGUGUUAAAAUAUAUACAUUUAUAUAUACAUUGAUGUAUUUGACCAUAUAUAUACUUAUUAUCAGUUUAUACGGUUAGUAACCUAUAUGUUCAUUGAUUUAUAUACUACACACACACAUAUAUACACACACUCACUCACACACUCACACUCACACUCACACAGGCACUAACACUGACACUGACACUCACAGAUAUGUAUACUACACAUAUGCGUGGUGUGUAUGGACUGAUGUGUGUAUAUUUACGAUAUGUAUAUGCAUAUAUAUGUAUACAGUUGCUUGCUAUCAGUUAUAUACAAUUAUCGAUGAUAUAUGCACUGUUAUGCGUACGCACAUGUACCCUAACGCGUGGAUAAGUGCAUAUAUAAUGUGUAUGUAUACACUAAUACAUGCAUUCUAUAUACACUGAUAUAUUUGACCAUAUUGACUAUUAUUAGUAGUUUAUAUGUAUAUACGGUGUGCGUUAAAUGAUAUGUAUUUAUUGAUAUGUUUAUAUAUAUGUAUAACCUUGCUAUCAGUUAUAUAUGCACUAAUAUGCGACACACAUGGGCACCCUCACGUAUUGAUAGUGCAUACAUUCAUUUCUAUAUACACUGAUAUAUAUGACCAUAUAUGACACUUAUUAUCAGUUUAUACAGUUAUCAGUGUAUAUGUACAAUGAAAUGUAUAUACGCACAUUCAUAUGCAUAUGUAUAAAAGGUUUAUAUGUACGCUUAUGUAAAAGACCAUGUAUAUACUUAUUAUCAGUGAUAUAUAUAGUUAUUCGCUCAAUUUGUGUACGAAUUGAUGUAUAACAAUAUAGACCAUUGUUUUUAGUAUAUAUAUACAUACUGAUGCAUAUAACCAUACAAUACAUUAGUUAUCUGUUACAUAUAUAGUUAUUAGUGUGUAAAAAAUACAUUGA